CACUUUAAGUUGGGAGGAAGGGCAGUAAAUUAAUACUUUGCUGUUUUGACGUUACCGACAGAAUAAGCACCGGCUAACUCUGUGCCAGCAGCCGCGGUAAUACAGAGGGUGCAAGCGUUAAUCGGAAUUACUGGGCGUAAAGCGCGCGUAGGUGGUUUGUUAAGUUGGAUGUGAAAUCCCCGGGCUCAACCUGGGAACUGCAUCCAAAACUGGCAAGCUAGAGUAUGGUAGAGGGUGGUGGAAUUUCCUGUGUAGCGGUGAAAUGCGUAGAUAUAGGAAGGAACACCAGUGGCGAAGGCGACCACCUGGACUGAUACUGACACUGA
rnacentral:rRNA from 1 species